rnacentral:rRNA from 1 species
UACGAAGGGGGCUAGCGUUGUUCGGAAUUACUGGGCGUAAAGGGCGUGUAGGCGGCCCGUUAAGACAGGUGUGAAAUUCCUGGGCUCAACCCAGGACGUGCGCCUGUGACUGGCGGGCUUGAGUCCGGGAGAGGAUGGUGGAACUCCCAGUGUAGAGGUGAAAUGCGCAGAUAUCAUUUGGAACGCCAAUGGUGAAAACAGCUUGCUGGGGGUUUGCUGACGCUGAGACACGAAAGCCAGGGGAGCAAACGGG